rnacentral:rRNA from 1 species
GACGAACGCUGGCGGCGUGCUUAACACAUGCAAGUCGAACGGAAAGGCCCUGCUUUUGUGGGGUGCUCGAGUGGCGAACGGGGGAUUAACACGUGAGUAACCUGCCCUUGACUUUGGGAUAAAUUCAGGAAACUGGGGCUAAUACCCGAUAGGAGCUCCUGCUGCAUGGUGGGGGUGGGCAAGUUUCGGCGGUUGGGGAUGGACUGGCGGCUUAUCAGCUUGUUGGUGGGGUAGUGGCUUACCACGGCUUUGACCGGUAGCGCGCCUGAGAGGAUGACCGGCCACAUUGGAACUGGGAUACGGCACAGACUCCUACGGGAGGCAGCAGUGGGGAAUAGUGCACAAUGGGCGGAAGCCUGAUGCAGUGACGCCGCGUGCGGGAUGACGGCCUUCGGGUUGUAAACCGCUGUCGCCUGUGACGAAGCGUGAGUGACGGUAAUGGGUAAAGAAGCACCGGCUAACUACGUG